rnacentral:rRNA from 1 species
GAUGAACGCUGGCGGCGUGCCUAACACAUGCAAGUCGAGCGAACACACGAUGAGCUUGUUCCUUUACCGUUGGCGGCGGACGGGCGAGUGACACGUGCAUCACCUUCUUAUAUUUCUGGGAUAAUUUCGUGAAGACGGUGACACUACCGGAUCAUAUAUCGAACCGCUUGGUUCAAUAGUUAAUGACGGUUUUGCUGUCUCUUAUAGCUGGAUCCGCGUCGCAUUAGCUAGUUGGUAAGGUAACGGCUUACCAAGGCGACGAUGCGUAGCCGAUCUGAGAGGAUGAUCGGCCACACUGGAACUGAGACACGGUCCAGACUCCUACGGGAGGCAGCAGUAGGGAAUAUUGGACAAUGGGCGAAAGCCUGACGGAGCAACGCCGCGUGAGUGAAGAAGGCCUUCGGAUUGUAAAGCCCUUUUAUUGGGAAAGAACAGAUGCGGGAGUAUAUAUGGCCGUCUUGACGGUACCUAAAGAGAAAGCAACGGCUAACUUCGUG